CAUAGCCAAAGUUCCACUCGAGAUUGUCGAGCAGCGACCACACAAACCAGCCGCGCACGGGCACGCCUGCGUCGAUGGCGUCGGCCACCUGCGCGAGAUGGGCGCGCAUAUAGUCGAUGCGCGGCUGGUCGGCAAUGGCCGCGUCGGUGCCGGGUCCAGUUGUCUCGACCGAAUCGGCAUAGCCAUUCUCGGUGAUCCAGAGGUCGACGCCGGGAAAGGUGUCGGCGGCGAGGCGCAGCAACUUGCCGAGGCCGCUGGGCACGAUCGACCAGCCGAGGGCGUUGACGGCGAGGCCCUUGUCGGCAGACGGGGGCACCUCGACAAAGCCAUCGCGGGUGCCGGGUGCCGCUGCGACAAAUUUGGUCGUGUAAUAGUUGAGGCCGAUAAAGUCGGCCGAGCCCUUGAGGAGCAGCGUCUCGGCGUCGGUAAAGGCCAACGGUCCAUUGUCGGGUCCUGCAGAGGCCAACAGAUCGCGCAUACAGUCGGGAUAGCGGCCCGAGCGGAGCGGUUCGGCAAACCAUCCAAAGCGCCGUUGGACGCACAGGGCCGCGGCCGCGUGAUCGGCCUCGGACGUGGGAUCGGCCGGCUCGCGCCAGGCACAGUUGAGCACAAUGCCAAUGGCGCCGCGCUCAUCCGGUCGACCAUUGGCUUCGGCCCAUACCUUGUCAAAGCCCUCGUGAAAUAUCACCGCUGCCUUGCCGUGCGCCAGCAAGAGGUUGUGGGCGGCGACGUGUUCCUGGCCGCGGAUGCCCGGCGGACUGCCGGCGACGCCAUAGCCAUGGUGGGCGACGACAUAGGGCUCGUUGAGGGUCGUCCAGCGGCGUGCCAAAUGGCCGAGGUGUUGAAAGCACGCACGCGCAUACUCGACAAAGGCGGUCGCCGUUAUGGGCGACAGCCAGCCGCCGACAGCGUCCUGCAGCGACUGCGGGAGGUCCCAGUGGUAGAGCGUUGGCAUGGGUUCGACACCGCUGGCGACAAGCCGCUCCAUGAGAUCGCGAUAAAAGGCCAUGCCCUUGGGAUCGACGGUGACGCGCACGCUGCCGUCGGCCUCGUUGAUCUCGUGCGACUUGAUGACCCUGGUCCACGCGAUCGAAAAGCGGUACGAAUCGAGGCCGAUAAACUCGAUGGUACCGCAAUCUUUAUCCCGAUAAAUGUAGUGUUUGCAUGCAUCGUCGCCCGUGACGACACGGCCUUGUGCGUCCUUGACCUUGCGCUUGCCGCACCAAUCCUCCCAUAUGUGGUCGCGGGCAUGGUCGAUGCCAGCCGUCGGGUCAUCGGAUUUUGCGGUUCGUCCGCCCUCGAUCUGGUAGGCCGACGUGCCGCUGCCAAAGACAAAGGCGAGCGGGAGGCGCGCCGCAAGAUCUUGGAUCGACAACCGAGAGGCUGUCGGUCCAUCGACCACCACUGGAGUGGACGCCUUUGUGGCGCCUGCGGUUUGGGCGGCGGACGUCGCCAAAGGGGUCGAGGAGGUAUCUGUUUGUUCAGUCUGCAUGGUGUUGCAAUGAAUGUAUUGUGAAAAUG
rnacentral:lncRNA from 1 species